UAAUCCUUUCUAGUGUUGGUACGCCAUAGAUGCACAUGAACUUGACUUCAAGGCACCAUCCUCUCAUAAUUGUAUUUCAUUUACUUUGAGAAUCUAUUGGGUAAAUCAUUAUGUUUUGGUGUGGAUAUGGAUCAGCUUACUAGUACCCCGAAGAAAAUGCUUGAUAGAAGAAAAUUAUACUGCAUAAAAAGCUUAUUUCAUGUGAAUAUUCAAUUCUGCACUCGAGCUCAUCUGAUCUAAAAUCAAAAGAAAUAUUAGAAAAUUAAGUAAAUCAGAUUUUGUUUUACAUGGACGAUGUUUGAGUGUGUGAGGUCCGUCAGUGGCGAAGCCACGUUGAGUGUAGUGUAGUCAAUUGACCACAUAGGUUUUUGGCAAAUCCUUUGUACACGAGUACAAAUCAUGUAAUUUAUUUUAUAAAAUUGCACUAGUAGAAAACAGGGCUUUGGUCCAGGCCGGGUCAGCCCAUUAGUCCCGGUUCAGUCCAGAACCGGGACCAAUGUGGGCAUUGGUCCCGGUUCGUGAGCCCAGGGGGCCGGCCGGGCCACGUGGGCCAUUGGUCCCGGUUCAUCUGGACCUUUUGGUCCCGGUUGGUGGGAUGAACCGGGACCAAUGGGCCUCGCUCCUGGCCCACCACCAUUGGUCCCGAUUGGUGGCUUGAAACGGGACCAAAGGCUCCCCUUUAGUCCCGGCUCAAGUCACCAACCGGGACCAAUGAGGUGCCUAUAUAUACCCCUCGCUCGCGAGCAGAGCACCCCAGUGCUCUGUUUUUCUCUGGCCGAGGGGGAGAGGGCUUGGUGGUGCUCUAGCUCACCUCCUAUGCACACAAGGUGUUCGAUGGAAUGCCCGAGCCACACUACUUAAGCUUUCUCCUCUCCAAGCUCGACCUCCAAGCUCCAUUUUCCAUAAUAUUUGUCUAGGUUUAGCGGUCCGUCACGCCCCGUCCCCGUCUUCACUGCCAUCGAUCACCCGCGCCGAGCUCAUCGCCGGCACCACCGUGGUGAGCCUCUUGUUCUUAUCUUCUUUCUGAAAGGAAAAAUAUUCUUACUUGUAUGUUUACAUAGAUACUUGUAUUAUUUUCUUACUUUUAUUAUUGCAUCUUAUAUAGUGCGAUGGUUUUGGUAUCCGCCCCCGUCGGCCCUCGUCAUGUCUGGUGAAAAAGAGGUGACCGGAUUGCAAACAUGCAUCCAGUCCCUGGUGAACAAGCCAAUCCGGCUUGUUAAUGUAAUCCAGGUUAUGCUCGUCCGCCGGAUCCUCCCGUGCCAACAACGGGAUUUUAAUCUGUGAGAGUUCGACCCGGCGCAGCACCAAACCCUUAGCAGGCUCUUCGACACGACGUACGAAGAUGCCUGGAAGGUGCUAUUCAAGGGCGCCGAGGCUCCCGCAUCCGCUUCCGAGGACCGCGGAUAUAGCUCGCGGCGUCACGCUAGCGAGGUAAGCUAUCUUCACCUACUACAGGAUGUUAAGCUUUCUUCAUAGUUUGACUCUAUGCGGGAUCUAAACUCCCUUACCUUUGACAGGCUUGGCGGGCGAUAUCCGGACCGAUUAACUGUCCGGCUCCGCUGCCCGAAGACCCAGCCCCAGCUCUACUAGCGAAGCUGCUGGUUCCGGCGCCUUAUGUGGUGCCGGAGAAGAAGGCUAAGAAGAAGAAGACCACGGGGACUCGAAAGAGUGCCCUCAACGUGGUGGUGUCGAACUCGUCAUCUGACGAGUCCGAGACGCCCUCCUCCCGUGAAAACGAGGAGGAGGAAGAAGAAAACUCUCCCCGCCCCCCAGCGGAGGGAGGAGAGAAGAGGAAGGCCGCCCCACCGGGGGAGGCCGAGGGGUCUAGGAAAAGGAAGACCCCUCCGCCGGACUACGCCCCCAACGCCGAAGAGGGCAAAGAGGAGUGGCCAAAUAGGGCCAAGCGUCCGGCGAAAUCGUAAGUUCGGAUAUCAGAAUAACUCAUGAUGUUCCUUUGUUGCACAGCUUUCCCUGAUGUCGAAUGUAAUUAUGCAGUCCGCCCCGGGCCGAAUUCGACGAAUCAUCGGGCAGCUUCCUGGACUCAUCGGACGUGAACUCAGUUCCGCCCGAUGUCUCCCCCCGCACUGCAGACGACGCCGAAGUGGCGUCACGACAAGCUCCAGGGCAGGAGGAGGUGGUCCCGGAGGAGCCGCAAGGCAACCUCCCGGACUCCAGGAGUGAAGGGGAUAAGGCCCCCCAGGGCUCCAAGUCCGGCUUUGUGUCGGACACCGCGCCGGAAUCUUCCACAGUUCCGGACCGCGGUAGGCGAACUCCUUCCAAGAGGAGCAAGCCUUCUGAGCCGGCGGCCUCCGUCCAAUCGGAGGUGCCGGACAAUCUGCUGGAGGUGCUCGAUGGCGCCUCCAUCGACGAGGGGCACCGUACUAUUAUGAGUACGGUGAUCCAGAAGGUUCAGUCCGCCAAGAGCGGACUGACUGAAGCUUGCGCUAGCCUUCUAACAGGCUUCGAGGUAAGUGAAAAUAUGUAAAAAUAUUACCGCAUAGACAGUAGCCCCUGAUGCUCUGUUUGGCAUUCGGAAAGAAAAGCCGAAUAGAGGAUCUAUUAAAUUUCGCAGGAGUCUAACAAAAAAAGAGUCAAUAUGCGUAUGCAGGCUUCGCUGCUAUCCACCGCCGCACUGACUGCGGAGGUGGGUGUCCUGAAGCAGGACUUCGAGCAAACCGAGCAAGAGCUCGGCCUUGCCAAGCGGCGGCUCGAGGAGAAAGAAGGUAAGAAAUACCUUACAGAAAAGGUGCCUAUAGAAAGGCGUGAUUGCAAAAAAAAUAACAGGAUUGUACUGCUUAUUGUAGAGGCCACGACUGAGGUGGCGACCCUUAAGCAGGCGUUGUCUGAGGCCGAAAAGAAAACGGCCACGGAGCGCACCGAGCGAGACAGACUUGGGGCUCAGGUCGGCGAGGUGCAGCAAGAGCUUCAGGCUCUCAUGAAAAAACAUGAGAGUUUGGAGCUUGAGUCAAAGGCGCAAGCAUCCGAGCUUGCGACGGUCCUUGAGACUGCCAAGUCUGCCAAGGCCGAAGCCCAAAAGGCCCUCCAAGAGUUGGAGGAGAUGAGGAAGAUAGCAGCGGGUAAGGCAUUCUUCAUGCAAAGCAGAAAUAUAAAAGUAAACUACUUGUUACUUACCCGAAUCCGGAGCUCUCCAGGGGCAUUCACAGAUCUUCCCCGCAGCGUAUCCGAUGCCGCCGCAUUCUACCGAGCUGAAGAGGGCAGCUCGACGGAGAAGGUGUUCUGGUCUCAGUAUUCUGAGGCCGGACACCCUGUGCCUUUGAGCGACCAGCUGAAACAGCUGGUCGAGCUCCACAAGGCGGCCGAACAGGCCAUGAAAGGCUUCAUAGUUCGGCUGUGGCUCAGAGAGGCCCUGCCUGGGAGCUAUUUCGGGCUGGUGCGGCGGCUGGUGGAGGCCUGUCCGAGGCUCGAGGUCAUCAAGCGCUCCGUCUGCAUCGAAGGUGCCCGUCGGGCCCUUGCCCGUGCAAAGGUGCACUGGGGUAAGCUGGACGGUGAGAAGCUUGUGAAGGACGGGCCGCUGCCGGGGAAGGAGCAUCACAUGCCCGAGAACUACUACAAGGAUGUUCUUGCAGGUGCCCGCCUUGUGGCGGAUGAAUGUACCAAGGAUGUGAUUUUUGAAUGAACUCGCUCGUGUUUAUCCUGUGCGCUGAAAACUUGUUCAUAUGCGCUAAGCAAUGCUUAUUGAAUUUAAAAUAUUACUUUCUGUGCGGCCAUUUAUUAAAAAAUUGAGAGAUGGUCAGUCGUCGGCUUCUGCCCCCAUGCCACUAGUGUUGAGGUGUUCGGGAUAAACCUGAGCGCUCUUUUUCCCAUAGUUGGGUCCUUCGAGGGAGGCGCUCAGCACAACGAACCAGGCAAUCGGACUAUAAUGCUUGAACACUCUCACUUAGCCAUAGAACUCUAUAAUUUUAAAUUUCGGCGAAGCCCCUAGUUCGGAAGACCGAGUUCGGGGCGCUAUCCACGCCUUGGCCGGACAAAGCCAGCUCCUCGCUCGAAGCGGCAUAAGUCUUUAGGGACUCGAAAAACCUCUCGAACAGCGACCGGUCUCUCGCCUCAUCAUGACAGUCGGUUUUAGCUUUCUCCACUGAGGUGCUUAACCCAGCUGAACCGGGGCACAAUUGCAGUGGUUCUCCUAGUGCUACCUUAGCCAAUAGAGCGGAACGUAAGGCACCAAAACAUAGGAGCCGGGCAAACCCAACUAUUGACCCAAAUCAUGAUUCGGAGCCGAUGCAUAUAGUGCUAUAAGUUCGAGGUGCCGUACUUGUGAAAGUGUACGGACUUCUCACACCAUUAUGAGGGGUACUGAAGCCCCUAGCGUGUUUGCCGUACCAUGGUGUACGGGUGCAAUCAUGUCAUUUAAUAAACAUAUAUGUGAAAAGAGGAUAAUGCAAAAAAAUAGACAAAAAUCUAAGCAUUGUUUAUAGAGAGGCUAUUUAUCAAAGCCGAACGAUACAAAUAGUGCGGUAAGCAAAAGAUAUUGGACUAGUCAAUAUGUCCUGACCAGGGGCAGGCCGCGGAAUUGUAUUUAAAACAGGUAUACCACUCGUAAUAGAGACCACCUGGGAGUUCCAUAAUGCGGCAUGGCUUUUCUGCCUCCCUGGAUCUUGCAUCGUUUGUGCGGCAGUCGAAUUGCCGAACAGGUCGUCCGAAGUAUGGAGUCCUGAAAGUAAGAAAAAAUUAAAAAAAGAAUCCGGCAGCCCCUAGUAUGUUUUAAGCCGUAUUUUGGGCGUGUCAUUAUUGUGCCCCUUCCCCUGUGCCCAUGGUAUUUCAAGGGCGUAGUUAUGUACGUGAGGUACUGGUUUCGUUAUGUCGCGAAAGCUGGGGUUGGGGCCGCAUUGCUACGCUUGCUCAGAGUGUGCCAGGCGGUCCUGCUGUGGGUUACUCCGGGCGCGCUUGGCAGUGUCUGGCUUUUUAAUGGCCGGACUGGAGAAUUGCCUGAGAAGGCUACUUUGUACCUCCGCUGCGAGAGCCGCCGUAUGCUCCUCCGUAUGGAGGGAGCGUUCGGUGUUUUCGUUGACCGUAAUUACUCCUCGAGGGCCUGGCAUCUUGAGCUUGAGAUAUGCGUAGUGCGGCACCGUAUUGAACUUUACGAAUGCGGUUCGUCCGAGCAGGGCGUGAUAGCCACUGCGAAACGGGACUAUAUCGAAGAUUAACUUUUCGCUUCGGAAGUUGUCCGGGGAUCCGAAGACCACGUCAAGUGUUACUGAGCCUGUACAGUUGGCUUCUACACCUGGUAUAACGCCUUUAAAGGUCGUUCUUGUGGGCUUAAUCCUUGAGGGAUCUGUGCCCAUUUUCCACACUGUAUCCUGAUAAAGCAGGUUCAGGCUACUGCCGCCGUUCAUGAGGACUCUUGUGACAUGAAAUCCGUUGAUAAUUGGGUCGAGAACCAAUGCGGCGAAGCCGCCAUGACGGAUGCUAGUGGGAUGGUCCCUUCGAUCAAAAGUGAUCGGGCAGGAGGACCAUGGGUUGAACUUUGGGGCGACUGGCUCCAUCGCGUAUACGUCCCGUAGCGCACGCUUCCGCUCCCGCUUGGGAAUGUGGGUUGCGUAUAUCAUGUUCACCGUCCGCACUUGUGGGGGAAAGCCCUUCUGUCCAUUGUUGUUUGGCGGCUUGGGCUCCUCGUCGUCGUUGUGUAGCCCCUUGUCUCUGUUUCCGGCCCUUAACUUGCCUGCCUACUUGAACACCCAACAAUCCCUGUUAGUGUGAUUGGCUGGCCUUUCGGGGGUGCCAUGUAUCUGGCACAAGCGAUCGAGUAUUCGGUCCAAACUAGACGGGCCCUGAGUAUUCUUUUUGAAUGGCUUUUUCCGCUGACCGGAUUUGUAGCCUUUGAAUCCGGCAUUGACUGUCGUGUCUUCAUUGUUGUCACUGUUGACGCGGCGUUUUUGCUUAUUCCGACGUGUCCUGCCACUUUUGUCCUUGGUGUCCGAAUUACCAGGGUUCUUUGAUAAGUUGUUACUGCGAGCUAGCCAGCUGUCUUCUCCCGCGCAAAAGCGGGUCAUGAGUGUCGUGAGGGCUGCCAUGGAUUUCGGCUUUUCCUGUCCCAGGUGCCGGGCAAGCCACUCGUCGCGGAUGUUAUGCUUGAAGGAUGCUAGGGCCUCUGUGUCCGGACAGUCGACUAUCAGGUUUUUCUUUGUUAGGAACCAUGUCCAGAAUUGUCUGGCCGAUUCCUCUGGCUGCUGAAUUAUGUGGCUUAAGUUGCCGGCAUCCGGCGGUCGCACGUAAGUGCCCUGGAAGUUGUCGAGGAAUGCGGCUUCCAGGUCCUCCCAAGAACCGAUUGAGUCUGCUGGCAAGUUUGAGCGGGAGGUAUUUGAUGGCGUGUAGAUCAUCGCCGCGUGCCAUGUGGAUGUGAAGGAGAUAAUCCUCGAUCCAUACCGCCGGAUCUGUUGUGCCAUCGUAUGGUUCGAAGUUUACGGGUUUGAAACCCUCUGGGAUUUUAUGAUCCAUUACUUCAUUCAUGAAGCAUAACGGGUGUGCGGCGCCUCUGUACUGGGCUAUAUCACGACGCAGCUCGGAAGAGCUAUGUCUGUUGUGUUCGGCCCGGCCGGAUUUGUUGUAUCCGGAGUGAAGAUCAUUAUCACAUGCCGUAGGGCGCCUGCGCGAUCCGUAGAUCGAUCUUGUUUGUCUUGCCUUAUCCUCCAGUAUAUCUCGCAGGUCGGGCGCAUUUUCCCGUGCCUUAGUUGAGCGGCGUCGGGGCAUGGCUUGGGUGGAGGGCCGAGAGGCCUCUUUGUCGCGGCCGCGAGGUGUCCGGUCUGCCAUGUCAUGCGCUGGUGAUGUAGGUGCUUCCUCCUCUGAUCGGGGUAGCGGCCUGCGCUUCGGGUAACUCUUGGAGGGGCGUUCGAGUUCAUACUCUUCAGCCGCAAGGACUUCAGUCCAUCUGUCAGCUAGCAAAUCUUGGGCAGCUCUAAGCUGUUGCUGCUUUUUCUUGAGGCUGCUUGCCGUGGCUAAAAGCCUGCGUUUAAAACGCUCUUGUUCGGCGGGGUCUGAUGGUAUGACGAAUUCGUCGUCAUCGAGGCUUGCCUCGUCUUCGAAGGGAGGUGUAUAGUUAUCAUCCUCGACCUCUCGGUCUACCGCUCUCUCAUGAGGGCUGGCUUCUCCAUCUUCCUGUGCCGAAUCUUGCUGAGGUGGGUGUUCUUCGGCGCUAUCCGGGGUAGUAUUAUCUCCCGUGCCGGAAUCACCAUUUUUGUUUUGGCGGGAUUUAGAGCGGCGCCGCUGACGCCGGCGCUUUGCCUGUUUCUUGGGGGCGUCAUCCCCCACUGUUCCAUCGCCAUCUCCAUCUUUUGGAGUAUCCACCAUGUAUAUAUCAUAUGACGAGGUGGCCUUCCAGCGCCCUACAGGUGCUGGUUCCUGUUCGUCUCCUACAUCGUCGUCCAUGCCGUCGAUGUCUUCGGAGCUGAAGUCAAGCAUGUCGGUUAGAUCGUCGACAGUGGCUACAAAGUGGGUGGUGGGUGGGCUUUGAAUUUCCUCAUCGCCCGUAUCCCACCCUCGCUGACCGUAGUCCGGCCAGGGCUCUCCUGAUAAAGAGAGAGACUUAAGAGAAUUCAGGAUGUCACCAAAAGGUGAAUGCUGAAAGAUGUCUGCGGCGGUGAACUCCAUUAUCGGCGCCCAAUCGGAUUCGAUUGGCAGGGGCGUGGGGGGUUCGGAGUCCGGGGAGGAGUCCGGAUCCUCGGAGUCACGGGUCGUGCAGAGUGCGGGGCUAGCGUUCGGCUCGAUCGCUUUUGGGAUUGCAGUCCCCGAGGUGACAUCCAACCGCUCAUCCUCGAUUGGUGCAAUAGGCUUCGAGUUAGGGGUCGGAACCGAUGCGUGUGCUGCCUCCAGGACACUGUCCGGGGGCAGAGCUAGAUCAUGCCUCUCGAGAUAGUGCGACGCGCUUGGCCGUGCCUCGAGUCCGUCGAAGAUCAAGUCUCCGCGGAUGUCAGACAUGUAGUUUAAGCUUCCAAACCUGACUUGAUGGCCAGGGGCGUAGCUUUCGAUCUGCUCCAGGUGGCCGAGCGAAUUGGCCCGCAGAGCGAAGCCGCCGAAGACGAAGAUCUGUCCGGGGAGCAAAGUCUCACCCUGGACCGCAUCGUUGUUGAUGAUCAAAGGAGCCAUCGGGCCUAAAGGCGACGACACAGAGGAACCCUUAAUGAAAGCACCAAUGUCGGUGUCAAAACCGGCGAAUCUCGGGUAGUGGGUCCCGAACUGUGCGUCUAGGCCGGAUGGUAACAGGAGGUAGGGAACACGAUGUUUUACCCAGGUUCGGGCCCUCUUGAUGGAGGUAAAACCCUACGUCCUGCUUGAUUAAUAUUGAUGAUAUGGGUAGUACAAGAGUAGAUGCACCACGAGAUCAAGGAGGCUAAACCCUAGAAGCUAGCCUAUGGUAUGAUUGUUGUAUAUGGAGUUGAUUGCCUACGGACUACAACCCUCCGGUUUAUAUAGACACCGGAUAGGGUUAGGGUUGCAUAGAGUCGGUUACAAUGGUAGGAGAUCUUGAAUAUCCGCAUCGCCAAGCUUGCCUUCCACGCCAAGGAAAGUCCCAUCCGGACACGGGACGAAGUCUUCAAUCUUGUAUCUUCAUAGUCCAGGAGUCCGGCUGAACGUAUAGUCCGGCUACCCGAACACCCCCUAAUCCAGGACUCCCUCAAUCACAAAAAAGGGUUAUACCCCAAUUGCGAAGAUGGCAACACAAAGCUCGGUACCGUACUGGAAUUGCUGCAGUGGAAGGCAAAGAAUGUUGUGGCUAACAAAGGAUUUGAGAAGCUACUGAAAAUAUUGAAGAAGAAGCUUCCAAAGGAUAACGAAUUGCCCGACAAUACAUACGCAGCAAAGAAGGUCGUAUGCCCUCUAGGAUUGGAGGUGGAGAAGAUACAUGCAGGCCCUAAUGACUGCAUCCUCUACCGCGGUGCAUACAAGGAUCUGAACGCAUGCCCGGUAUGCGGUGCAUUGCGGUAUAAGAUCAGACGAGAUGACCCUGGUGAUGUUGACGGCGAGCCCCCCAGGAAAAGGGUUCCUGCAAAGGUGAUGUGGUAUGCUCCUAUAAUACCACGGUUGAAACAUCUGUUCAGAAACGAAGAGCAUGCCAAGUUGAUGCGAUGGCACAGUGAGAACCGAAAGAAAGAUGGGAAGUUGAGAGCAGCCGCUGACGGGUCGCAGUGGAGAAAAAUCGAGAGAAAGUACUGGGAUGAGUUUGCAAAGGACCCAAGGAAUGUAUGAUUUGCUUUAAGCGCGGAUGGCAUUAAUCCUUUCGGGGAGCAGAGCAGCAAUCACAGCACCUGGCCCGUGACUCUAUGUAUGUAUAACCUUCCUCCUUGGAUGUGCAUGAAGCGGAAGUUCAUUAUGAUGCCAGUUCUCAUCCAAGGCCCUAAGCAACCCGGCAAUGAAAUUGAUGUGUACCUAAGGCCAUUAGUUGAAGAACUUUUACAGCUGUGGAAUGGAAACAGUGUACGUACGUGGGAUGAGCACAUACAGGAGGAAUUUAACCUUAAGGCGUUGCUGUUCGUGACCAUCAACGAUUGGCCCGCUCUCAGUAACCUUUCAGGACAGACAAACAAAGGAUACCACGCAUGCAAGCACUGGUUAGAUGACACUAAAAGUAUAUACCUGGACAAAUGCAGGAAGAAUGUGUACCUGGGCCAUCGUCGAUUUUUUCCGACCAACCAUCAAUGUCGAAAGAAAGGCAAGCAUUUCAAAGGCGAGGCAGAUCACCGGAAGAAGCCCGUCGUGCGCACCGGUGAUCACGUGCUUGCUAUGGUCAAUGAUUUACACUACAUAAUCUUUGGAAAGGGUCCCGGUGGACUAGCUGUUCCGAAUGACGCUGAGGGACACGCACCCAUGUGGAAGAAGAAAUCUAUAUUUUGGGACCUACCCUACUGGAAAGACCUAGAGGUCCGCUCCUCAAUCGACGUGAUGCAUGUGACGAAGAACCUUUGCGUGAACCUGCUAGGCUUCUUGGGCAUGUAUGGGAAGACAAAAGAUACACCUGAGGCACGGGAGGACCUGCAACGUUUGCACGAAAAAGACGACAUGCCUCCAAAGCAGUAUAAAAGUCCUACCAGCUACGCUCUUACGAAAGAAGAGAAAGAAAUCUUCUUUGAAUGCCUGCUCAGUAUGAAGGUCACGACUGGAUUCUCGUUGAAUAUAAAGGGAAUAAUAAAUAUGCUAGAGAAAAAGUUUCGGAACCUAAAGUCUCAUGACUGCCACGUGAUUAUGACGCAACUGCUUCCGGUUGCAUUGAGGGGGCUUCUACCGGAAAACGUCCGAUUAGCCAUUGUGAAGCUAUGUGCAUUCCUCAAUGCAAUCUCUCAGAAGGUGAUCGAUCCAGAAAUCGUACCAAGGCUAAGGAGUGAUGUGGCGCAAUGUCUUGUCAGUUUCGAGCUGGUGUUCCCACCAUCCUUCUUCAAUAUCAUGACGCACGUCCUGGUUCAUCUAGUCGACGAGAUUGUCAUCCUGGGGCCCGUAUUUCUACACAAUAUGUUCCCCUUUGAGAGGUUCAUGGGAGUCCUAAAGAAAUAUGUCCGUAACCGCGCUAGGCCAGAAGGAAGCAUCUCCAUGGGCCAUCAAACAGAGGAUGUUAUCGGGUUUUGUGUUGACUUCAUUCCUGGCCUUAAGAAGAUAGGUCUCCCUAAAUCACGGUAUGAGGGGAGACUGACUGGAAAAGGCACUCUUGGAAGAGACUCAAUAAUAUGCAGGGACGGAUAUUCUUGGUCUCAAGCAAACUACACAGUUCUACAGAACUCUACCUUGGUGACCCCGUAUGUCGAUGAACACAAGAACAGUCUGCGCUCCAAACACCCGGAGUAGUGCGACGACUGGAUUACAUGUGAACACAUCAGGACUUUCAGCAGUUGGUUGGAAACACGUCUCAGAGGUGACAACACUGUUUGUGAUGAGUUGUACUUGUUGUCCAGGGGACCAUCUUUGACUGUAUUGACUUACAAACGAUACGAGAUAAAUGGGAAUACAUUUUACACGAUCGCCCAAGAUCAAAAGAGCACCAACCAAAACAGCGGAGUCCGCUUUGAUGCAGCAACCGAGAGCGGAAAGGACACAUAUUAUGGUUACAUAGUGGACAUAUGGGAACUUGACUACGGACCUGAUUUUAAGGUCCCUUUGUUUAAGUGCAAAUGGGUCAAUCUGUUAGGCGGCGGGGUACAGGUAGACCCACAGUACGGAAUGACAAUAGUGGAUCUGAAAAAUCUUGGGUACACUGACGAACCGUUCGUCCUAGCCAAUGAUGUGGCAUAGGUUAUCUAUGUGAAGGACAUGUCUACCAAACCGAGAAAAAGAAAAGAUAAGGAAGCGAAUACAUCAUACGAUGAGCCAAAGCGCCACAUAGUUCUAUCAGGAAAAAGGGACAUCCUGGGAGAGGACGGCAAGACAGACAUGUCUGAAGAUUAUGAAAAGUUUCAUGAAAUUCCUCCCUUCAAUGUCAAGGCUGACCCAAGCAUCCUGAUAAACAAUGAAGAUUAUCCAUGGUUACGGCGCAAUAAGCAAAUGACACAAGCGAAUAAAAAGUGAAGACUUUCUCCCGCAACUAUUAUGAUGAUACCAUGCCAACUUUGUAACGCACGAACAUGCUACCUGGAAGGAUCGAUAUGGUUGACUAGAGGGGGGGUGAAUAGGCAACUACCAAUUUUUAGCUUUUCUUUACCAAAUUAAACUUUGCAUCAAAGUAGGUUGUCUAGAUGUGCAACUAGGUGAGCAACCUAUAUGAUGCAAUAACAAAAAGCAUACAAGCAAGCAAGGGUAGAAAUCAUAAAGAGCUUGCACAAGUAAAGGUAAGAGAUAACCAAGAGUGGAUCCGAUGGAGACGAGGAUGUGUUACCGAAGUUCCUGCCUUUGAAGGGAAGUACGUCUCCGUUGGAGCGGUGUGGAGGCACAACGCUCCCCAAGAAGCCACUAGGGCCACCGUAUUCUCCUCACGCCCUCACACAAUGCGAGAUGCCGUGAUUCCACUAUUGGUGCCCUUGAAGGCGGCGAUCGAACCUUUACAAACAAGGUUGGGGCAAUCUCCACAACUUAAUCAGAGGCUCCCAACAAGACCACGAAGCUUCACCACAAUGGAAUAUGGCUCCGAGGUGACCUCAACCGUCUAGGGUGCUCAAACACCCAAGAGUAACAAGAUCCGCUAGGGAUGAGUGGGGGAAUCGAAAAUCCCUUGGUGGAAGUGUAGAUCGGGGCCUUCUCAACCACUCCCGAGCAAAUCAACAAAUUUGAUUGGCUAGAGAGAUAGAUCGGGCGGAAAUGAAGCUUGGAGUAUUUAAUGGAGCUUGAGCAAUAAAUGGAGCUUGGGGGAGGAAGAGGUGGGUGAGAAGGAGGAAGGGGACUCCCUUUUAUAGUGGGGGCAACAAUCCCGUUGCCCCCCACCAACCAGCCCCGCAUAGGGCGGUACUACCGCUGAGAGGGGGCGGUACUACCGCCAGGCGACGGUACUGCCGCGCCAACUAGCGGUACUACCGCGCUGAGGAGACUUAGUAGGGAACGGACCCAAAUGCGGUACUACCGCGGUGGUAGGGCGGUACUACCGCUCCUGGAAUGGUACUACCGCCACUACAACCGUGACUAGUGCCGCAAAAACCGACACGAGAAAAAGACCUCUCGAAUCGAGGCGGUAGGAGCCAAACUACCCAGCGGUACUUCGGCAGUGGGGUCAAGGGCGGUACUACGGCAGUGGGGUCAAGGGCGGUACUGCCGCUUGUGACCCUUCGGCCAUAGUACCGCAGGCAGUGCGGUACUACCGCUGGGGCGCGAGAGUGAGAAGGGAUCUCUCAAAAAGCUGAGGACCAGCGGAGGUGCCAGGCCCCCAGCGGUACUACUGCUGUGGAGCCACGGCGGUACUACCGCUGCGAAGCGGUACUGCCACUUGUGGCUUCUCAGCGGUACUACCGCUGGAUGCGCGAUACUGCCGCUUAGACCUAGACAGAACAAGGAAGAGAGGAGAGAUCUCUUCAAUGGACAGGAAAAGCUCGGAGGAUGAGAAGCUGAUGUGUACGUGAUGAUUCCACCCAAGCAAAACCACAGAGGACCCCCUCUUGAUAGUACGGUGCCCUCUACGCAACUAGUCCACCUAGAAAGAAACGAAAGAGCUACACCGUCUUGAAAUACACUCCGAGGGGAAGAAAGCGUCUCGUGCCAGGGGAGAAUCUGAGAAUAAUUCAACGCACAAGGUUAGUCCGCAAACAUGUUGUCAUCAAUCACCAAAACUACCUUGAGAGAGAUAUGCCGUAACAAUCUCCCCCUUUUUGGUGGAUUGAUGACAACAAGGGAUUUGCGCAAGGAAAAGAAUUAAAACGAAUAAAACUAAGAACUACAAAACAUAGACGGGCUCCCCCAAAAUGUGUGCACCAACAUAAGGCACGACACACACAUUCGGAUCAACACUCCCCCUAUAUUUUAUAGUCCAACAACACUAAGCACAAGAUAUAUGAGAGAAGAGAAUAAACAGGACAAGCAUGCAUCUCAAUAUAAACUACAAUACUCUGAAGUGACAUAAGUAAUAAGGUAGCGAUAGGGAGCAUAUGUCUUACACCAUAUGACUAGGACUUAGGUCUCACACCAAACCAAACCAAAGAAGGAACACACAAGAAAACACAAGACGACUGAAAGCACGACACAAGAAGCAAAUCCCUACACUCUCUCCUCCUUUGGCAGCGAGACACCAAAAAGGGCAUAGAGUGACACUACGACUCCAGGUGAUGGGAGGGGAAGGUCUUGAACAUCACAUCUCUGCAUCUUCAUCGUGGGUCGAAAACUGCUCGGCAUCAGAGUCGGUCCAGUGGCAAUUCUGAUGAAUCCAGUCCUCUUCAGUGAUCUGACCAUCAGAACCACUGACAAGAGUUGCUCCCAUCUGACGCAUGAGCUCCUUGUGGCGCAUCUUGGCAUGCUUCUCCGCCACAUGAGUCAUGUACUGACCAUGAGACUCCAUGCAGAAAAGCUUCUUCAUCUUGCGCUUAAGCUUCUGUGCCCACGACGGUUCUGCACUAGAGGGGCCAAAGUUCUCCUCAUGAUCAUCAGUAGCAGCCUCACCAUCAGUCCCCAUGGCAGCAGCAGCAGCAGCAUCAGCAGACGGACCCCCUGUGGCAGCAGUAGCAGAUGGACCCCCUGUGUGAGGCGCUGUCCAGUUGUCCUUCUUCCUCAGACGCUUGAUCUCAUGAGACACCAAGUCUCCAGUAUCUAGCAGCACUCUGGGAUAAGUCUGUGCCCAGGCCCUCUCAAUGAGCCUCAUGAUGAAUGGACCAUAGAUAGGACACUUGCGCUCAGACACGUCAGAUAGAAGUUCAGACCACAUGACAUGAGAGAUAUCCAGGCUCUCUCCAGUGCUUGCUUCCUUCUCAUGCUGACAGAAAAGGAGCAUGUCCACGAGGUAAGAGUGGACCAUAUCCAGAUUCCCGAUCCGAGGGAAGAGAGUCUCACGGAAUAUGUGAUGAAGAAUGUCCAGAUACGGAGACAGCUCAUAGGUCUUCUUCUGAGUGACUGGGUGAACCUUCACAGUGCAGUAGGGCCAAAGGGCUUGCUUGUGGGUGGAUGUAGCAUUGCGGUGAGGACGGAAACCGAAAGGAGUCUCAAGCCCCGUAUCCACCACAUCAAGUAACUCCAUGAAAGCCUUCCACUUGACAGAAAGCAGCUUGCCAUUGGUCAUCCAUGUCAGAGUCCUGUCGACAUCCGUCCCAAGGUGGACGGUGGCAUAGAAUUGAGCCACCAAAUCCGCAUCGAAUUCCUUAUUGAAUUGCAUGAUCCUGAGAAUGUUUAGCUGAGUGCACAUAUGAAGAGCUUCGCAAAAGUACUCUGGAUCCUUCUCCAUAGCAUCAGUGUCAAUGGAGCGAACAUCAACAAAAAGAUUAUUCUUGGCCUUGAUCACAUCAAAGUAGAUGGCAAACUGAAAAUGGUUCCAGAACGGGCGGUUGACCAAAGUGGGUUCUUGGUCCACCGCAUAGGGGUUGCGGCGACGCUUCUCCCAAAACUCCUUGUUGGUCAUCUCAGACACAGUCUUCCCUUUUGGCUUGUUGGCGGCUCGCUUCGAUUGCUGAGGAGGUGGGGGAACACUUGCAGAAGCACUUGCUGGAGGCGGUUGGGUGCUCGAGGAACCACCGGCAGGCUCUGAGGUAAGGUAGUGUUUUGAUGUGGCACGCCCGGGGUUGAUACGGCGACCUUGCUGCUCGGAACGGUCAUCACCUGGAGCCAAACACAAGAACAACGCGAAACAACCAGAAAGAAUGAGCAUAAGCCAACAAACACAACAAAAAGAUCAAGGUAAGGCAGGAGAAUGAUGGAAAUUGGCAUGCAGCGGUAGUACCGUGACCUGCCCGCGGUAGUACCGCCCCAAGCGGUAGUACCGCCCCAAAGGGAGCGGUAGUACCACUCUAGGUCAAGCGGUAGUACCACUCCAAAGGGAGCGGUAGUACGGCUUGAGGCGGAUAAAUAGCAGUUUCCUACUACCGUGGUCAGAUCCGGCACUACCGGCCAACCAAAUUCAAAAAUAAUCCUACCAAACUCUAAUCUAGAAAGUCUAGUUGCCUUCUCCAACCAACUCAUGCCUAGAUUUCGCCAAAAAUCUAGAGAUGCAACCACCAUUGCCCCUAAGAAACAAGAACAAAAAGGAGACAAAACGAAAGAAGGAACGGGGGCAAUACCGGCAUCCAUGGCAAGAGGACGAGGUGGGGAUCGACUCCACCAAAGGAAAUAGAGAGGGACAUCCCGGAGACGGAGAUCCGCCGGAGCCCUCCCGCGGCAAGAGGAGGCUGGAGAGAGGAAGAGACAAGAGGGGCGAAGUGAAUGGGUAUGAGGGAGAAGAAACCCCCCUGCCUCGACUUAACCCUCAGGUCCCGUCCCUCAGCGGUAGUACCACGCUGGGGGGCGGUAGUACCGCUUAUAAGCGGUAGUACCGCGCACCACCAGCGGUAGUACCGCACACCACCAGCGGUAGUACCGCCCAGCACGCCACGACAACUAAACAGACACGGCUUUAGCUCGACGAAACGACAAAAACGGCAAGAGAGAAACGACAAAGCACAACAGCAAACGACCAAGACACACCUCUUCAAAAGAGGGCGGUGGCCGAGGCCACCUAUGUUUGAGUCAAAAGGUAUGGCACCGCGAAGAUUUUAACCUUGGGCCCAUGACCAAAACUCGUCUUUGAAGCACAAGUGCCAUCAACAAUGGCUAAGGUGAAAGACUUGAUCAAUUUAUGCAUAAUGGGGGGAGGGAGAGUUCAUUGAGAGAACAACACUCCCCCUAUGUCCAUGCCUACACCUAAACUAGACAACAAGUUGAGCGUGAUAGGGUGUGCGCGAGUUCAAGCAACAUUGCUCGAAUCAAUGAUAUUUAGCUCAUGCCUUAACUCGCGAAAUCUUGCUUCAUCCAAGGGCUUCGUGAAGAUAUCUGCAAGGUUAUCAUGAGUGUUGACGUAGUUGAGCUCGAUCUCUCCUUGCCUAAUGUGAUCCCGGAUGAAGUGAUGCCGUAUCUCAAUAUGCUUCGUCUUGAAGUGUUGCACCGGGUUGAGAGAGAUCUUGAUGGCACUUUCAUUGUCACACCAAAGAGGCACUUUGUCACAAGUGACACCGUAAUCCUUUAAAGUUUGCCUCAUCCAUAAGAGUUGUGCACAACAACUACCGGCCGCCACAUACUCCGCUUCGGUGGAUGAGAGAGACACACAACUUUGCUUUUUGGAAGACCAACUUACCAAAGAGCAACCAAGGAAUUGGCACCCUCCGGAUGUGGACUUCCUAUCCACUUUGUCUCCUGCCUAAUCGGAAUCUGAGUACCCUACAAGCUUGAAGUUUGAUCCUCUUGGGUACCAUAAGCCAAAGUUUGGGGUAUGAGCCAAAUAUCGAAAGAUUCGUUUGACCGCCACAUAGUGACUUUCCUUAGGUGCGGCUUGAAACUGUGCACAAAUUCACACACUCAACAUGAUGUCCGGUCUAGAUGCACAAAGGUAAAGCAAGGAUCCAAUCAUGGAACGAUAUACCUUUUGAUCCACCACUUUACCAUUGGGAUCUAAAUCAAGUUGGCACUUGGUGGGCAUUGGAGUGGAAGCCGGCUUGACGUCACUUAGCUUGAAUCUCUUGAGCAUGUCUUGAGUGUAUUUGGAUUUAUUGAUGAAAGUUCCUUCUCUUCUUUGCUUCACUUCGAACCCUAGAAAGAACUUCAACUCUCCCGUGGAGGACAUCUCGAACUUUGAGGUCAUGAGAGCGGCAAAUUCCUCAUUGAAAGCUUUGUUAGGAGAACCAAAGAUAAUAUCAUCAACAUAUAAUUGGCACACAAACAACUCCCCUUUGACCUUCUUAGUAAAAAGAGUGGGGUCGAUUAGCCCAACUUCAAAACCACGGUCUUGUAACAACUCGGUAAGGUGGUCAUACCACGCACGUGGGGCUUGUUUAAGGCCAUAGAGUGCCUUAUCGAGUUGAUACACAUGAUCGGGAAAGUAGGGAUCCUCGAACCCGGGGGGUUGCUUGACGUAAACCAAUUCAUUAAUGGUACCAUUAAGAAAAGCACUCUUCACAUCCAUUUGUUGUAACUUAAAGUUAUGAUGAGAAGCAUAUGCAAUCAACAUGCGAAUGGAUUCAAGACGAGCAACGGGAGCAAAGGUUUCACCGUAGUCGAUACCCUCGACUUGGGAGUCGCCUUGUGCUACCAAACGAGCCUUAUUGCAAAUGAUAAUCCCAUGGGCAUCUUGCCUGUUCUUGAAUAUCCACUUGGUUCCAAUGACAUUAUGGUUCCCCGUUGGCCUUGGCACCAAUCUCCAAACUUUGUUGCGCUCGAAGUUGUUGAGUUCUUCGUGCAUGGCAUUGAGCCAAUCCGGAUCUUCUAGCGCCUCAUAGACCUUGUGGGGCUCCACACAAGAGACAAACGCGUGAUGCUCACAAUAAUUUGCUAAUUGUCUACGAGUGCUUACCCCCUUUCUUAAGCUUCCAAGCACAUUCUUCAUGAGAUGAUCCUUGGUGGAGAGCUUGGAAGCAACCUUGGCGGCACGACGCUCUAAUUCCUCCUCGGUGGUGAGUUGAGGAGUGGUUACUUGAUCAUCUUGAGCGCCGUCAUGAACUUGUUCUUGAUCUUGAACUUGCUCGGGGGAGAGAACUUGACCUUGGGCAUCACUUGGUGUGUCAACACCGUCUUGAGUAUGAUCUUGCCCUUGGUCUUGUUCAUGAGGUUGAGGGCCUUCACUUUGUUCUUCGGAAGCUUGUGGGCCUUGGGUUGGUGAUGGCUCCACUUGAGUGGAGCAUUGUCCUUCUCCUUCGGCCACAAGGGGUUCCUCAAUGGGUAGGAUGAAACCAACACCCAUUCUUCUUAUGGCUUGAGGAGGAAUUUCAUCACCUACAUCACAAGUGCCACUUUGCUCCACUUGGGAGCCGUUAUUCUCAUCAAACUCCAUGUUACACGUCUCCUCAAUAAGUCCCGUGGAUUUAUUGAGGACACGGUAUGCAUGAGAGUUUGUAGCAUAACCAACAAAUAUGCCCGCAUAAGCUCUAGCCUCAAAUUUAGACAACCGAACACCUUUCUUGAGAAUGAAACACUUACACCCGAAUACCCGGAAGUACUUGAGGUUGGGCUUGUUACCGGUGAGUAUCUCAUAUGGGGUCUUGUUCAAGCCCUUGCGGAGGUAGAGCCGAUUGGAUGCAUGACACGCGGUGUUGAUGGCUUCGGCCCAAAAGUUGUAUGGAGACUUGAACUCCGCCAUCAUGGUCCUUACCACAUCCAUCAACGUCCGGUUCUUCCUCUCCGCAACACCGUUUUGUUGAGGGGUGUAUGGUGCGGAAUAUUGAUGCUUGAUUCCCUCAUCACUAAGAAAUUCAUCCAAGGUGUAGUUCUUGAACUCGGUGCCGUUGUCACUUCUUAUUGUCAAGAUCUUUGCAUUGUGUUGACGUUGUGCUUCAUUUGCAAAGUCAAUGACGGUUUGUUGGGUCUCGCUCUUCCUCUUGAAGAAAUACACCCAUGUGUACCUUGAGUAGUCAUCCACAAUCACCAAGCAAUACUUCCUACCUCCAAGACUAUCGAAGGAUGGGGGCCCAAAAAGAUCCAUGUGAAGGAGCUCCAAGGGCCUCUUUGAAUAAAUGAUAGUCGUGGGAGGGUGAGCCUUCUCAUGUAGCUUUCCUUCGAUACAGGCACUGCAAGCACGAUCUUUAACAAAGCUAACAUUCAUUAGUCCACGGACAUGGUCCCCCUUGAGAAGACUUUGCAAAGAUCUCAUAUUGACAUGGGCUAAACGGUGAUGCCAAAGCCAUCCCACAUCAACUUUAGCCAUUAGGCAUGUCGCGGUCUUAGUGGGUCGCUCCGAAAAGUUAAUCACAUAUAGACCAUGCUCGACAUGCCCAACAAAAGCUACUUUAAGAGUCUUGCUCCACAAGAGGGCCACGGUAUCGAUAUCAAAGAAAGUGGCAAAGCCCAUGAUUGCAAGUUGACGAACGGAAAGUAAAUUGUAUGCAAGGGACUCAACAAGCAUGACCUUCUCGAUCGUGAGAUCAUGAGAGAUGACCACCUUGCCAAGUCCCAAUACCUUAGAGGAUGAGGCGUCACCCCACUCGACAUUGGUGGGCAUAGAUGGAACUUUGUGCACGUCCACCACCAAGUCCUUGCUUCCGGUCAUAUGAUUUGUAGCUCCGCUAUCGAGCAACCAUGGUCCACCACCGGAAGCAAACACCUACAAGAGAUCAAUGCUUGGUUUUAGGUACCCAUUUUGUAAUGGGUCCUUUGAUGUUAGUAACAAGGGUCUUAGGAACCCAAAUAGACCAUUCAAUGUACUCAUGAAGAGAACCAACAAAUUUGGCAUAAACAUGCCCAUCACUAGCACGGCAUAACACAUAAGAAGGAUUAAAAUCGCCGGCUUUGUUGGGAGGGAUGACAUUGCCCUUCUUGACAUUGUUCUUCUUCUUCUCCUCGGGGGCACUCUCUCCCUCCCUCACAAAGGUUUGCAUGAGGGGAGGAGGUCGUUUGGUCUUGUCAUUCUUCUUCUUGUUCUUGGAGUCGGGCAUGUACCCAACCCCUUCCUUGGCCACACCUCCCUUUUGGUUGAUCAAGAGAUCGUUGAGGUUCUUCUUGCCUUGUAUGCAAGUCGCAAGACCUCUCUCAAGUUUCUCCUUCAACUUAGCAUUUUCCUCAACAAGAUGUAUAUGCUCACAACACGGGUUAGUAGCAUUUGCAUUAUCAAUUAAAACCAUAUGAGGAAAAGUUGCUUUCUCCUUAGUUAGCUUCACUUGGAGUUGAUCAUGAGACUCCUUGAGACUAGCGUGAAUACCCUUCAAGGCAUUGUGGGCCUUGUCAAGUAUAUCAAACUCCUCUUUGAGUCUAGCAAGAUCAAGCCCAAGUUUGGCCUUCUCAGAAUUUAGCACAUGAGAAACAAUGAGGGCAUGAUCAUAAUCUUUCUUUAACUUAGCAUGAUCAACGUUGUGUGACUCCUCAAGAGCCAAACGAAGACCACGCUCUUCCUCAAGAGCAUUGGAAAGAUCCGAAAUCUCAUCGGCAUAGUCACGACUAUGCCCUUCCAUCUUAGAGAUGGUGUCUUCGUGACCCUCGAUCAUGUCAUUGGCCUCACCAAGUUGUUCCAAGAGAGCAACAAAGUGCUUCUUGGAUUUUCCCUUGAGUCUGCCCAUAAAAGCAUCAAACUCGUUAGCCUCCACAUUAGCUCCCUCAAGUUCAUUAAUGCUAUGCGUAUGGGAAGGAUGAUUAAUGAUGGUAGUUUUGAUGUUGGAGGUUACCUUGUUGGUGGCUUUAGCCAUGAGGCACUUGGCGGUGAUGCUCUCGUUGGGUGAGUCGAAGAGAGACACCCGUGACGUUGUUGCAAUGGCAACGGAGGCCAUGGAAACCGACUCAUCAUCUUCAUCAUCCUCAUUGUACUCUUCUUGCAAAACCAAAGCCUUGGGAGGAGUCUUCUUGGUGAAGUUUUUUUUGUUGGGGAACGACUUGGCCUUGUCCUUUCGGAUGAGUUUGCCACCAUUGUCUUCCCUCUUCUCAUACGGGCAUUCCACAAUGAAAUGACUCACGUUGCCGCAAUUGUAGCAAGUUCUUACAUGUUGCUUGCCCCUUGUGCCACUCGAGUUGUUUUUGCUAAAGUUGGGCCUUGAAUUUUUCUUGCUCCAAAAUUGCCUUGAAGCAAGUGCCAUGUGUUCAUGAUAUGCAUACUUCGUAUCUUCGGGGUUGCUCUCCUCUUCUUCCUCUUAUUCUUCUUCCACGGUGAGCUUGGCCUUCAAUGCAAGGUUAGGCUUAUUUGCCCGUUGAGAAAGGAGCACCGCAUUGUCAGCGGUCUUGUCCAAAAUGUUCAUGGCCACAAACUCAUCCAACACUUCUCUUGAGGUCAAAGUGUGGAAGUCCGGUCUGUGACGAAUGACGGAGGACAUGGCCUUGUGGUAGGGCAUCAUUGCCUUGAGGAAUUUGCGCUUGAUCCAAUCGUCAUCCGUGCCCUUGCUCCCAUGAUCUCGUAGUGAGACCGCGAGUUUGAUUACUCUCCGAUAAAGCUCACAAGGUUCUUCAUCUUCCUUCAUUGCAAACUCAUCGGCCUCAUCUUGUACCACUUCAUAGUUGGAGCGUUGAAUGCUUGUGCUUCCCCAGUAGAGAGACACGACACAAUGCCAUGCAUCUUUGGCCAAGGCGAAGGGACGAAGAUGAGGUAGGUCUUCGGGUGGAAUUGCAUCUUGAAUGAUGAAGAGAGCAUUCUCAUUGAAUUGAUUGUCCGCGGCUUCUCGUGGAGUGAAGUUGCUUGGAUCAUGUGGAUAGAAACCUUCUUCAAUGAUUCUCCAAAGGUUAGUGUUCACAUGAUUUAAAUGACGUUUAAAGCGGUAAACCCAAGAAUCAAAAUCCUCAUUUUUCACAAUCUUAGGGGGAGGACCAGCAUGAUUCAAAUGAGUGGAAGGAACCGGUCCACCAUAAACAAGUGGUGGUUCCACAUGGGCAAAGAUGUCGGUGCCAUUCUUGCCACUAGAAGAAGGAUCCUUUUCAUUACUAGCUUCCCCCUUGUCGGGGAUAGCAUCCGACACCUUGUUGGCGGAAUCACCCACUUUCAACAGUGCGGUGGAUAGUUUAAGCCCCUCAAGAAAUUUAGUAAGCAUGCUUUCAACUUCGGUUGUCAUGGAGGUUUUCAAUGUCUCCAAGGCCACAUUGAACUCCUCACGAGAGACCGAAGUUCCCCCAUCUCCCGUAGACGAGAUCGGAUUCACACCGGAGUGUUCCUCCACACCGUCUACAGUAUCAACCAUACUCUUUGGACGGUAAAGUCCUUAAUAAAGAGACGAGGCUCUGAUACCAAUUGAAAGGAUCCAUAUGGUUGACUAGAGAGGGGUUGAAUAGGUAACUACCAAUUUUUAGCUUUUCUUUACCAAAUUAAACUUUGCAUCAAAGUAGGUUGUCUAGAUGUGCAACUAGGUGAGCAACCUAUAUGAUGCAAUAACAAUAAGCAUACAAUCAAGCAAGGGUAGAAACAAUAAAGAGCUUGCACAAGUAAAGGUAAGAGAUAACCAAGAAUGGAUCCGGUGGAGACGAGGAUGUGUUACCGAAGUUCCUUCCUUUGAAGGGAAGUACGUCUCCGUUGGAGCAGUGUGGAGGCACAAUGCUCCCCAAGAAGCCACUAGGGCCACCGUAUUCUCCUCACGCCCUCACACAAUGCGAGAUGUCGUGAUUCCACUAUUGGUGCCCUUGAAGGCGGCGACCGAACCUUUACAAACAAGGUUGGGGCAAUCUCCACAACUUAAUCGGAGGCUCCCAACAAGACCACGAAGCUUCACCACAAUGGAAUAUGGCUCCGAGGUGACCUCAACCGUCUAGGGUGCUCAAACACCCAAGAGUAACAAGAUACGCUAGGGAUGAGUGGGGGAAUCGAAAAUCCCUUGGUGGAAGUGUAGAUCGGGGCCUUCUCAACCACUCCCGAGAAAAUCAACAAAUUUGAUUGGCUAGAGAGGUAGAUCGGGCGGAAAUGAAGCUUGGAGUAUUUAAUGGAGCUUGAGCAAUAAAUGGAGCUUGGGGGAGGAAGAGGUGGGUGAGAAGGAGGAAGGGGACUCCCUUUUAUAGUGGGGGCAACAAUCCCGUUGCCCCCCCACCAACCAGCCCUGCACAGGGCGGUACUACCGCUGAGAGGGGCGGUACUACCGCCAGGCGACAGUACUGCCGCGCCAACCAGCGAUAUUGCCGCGCUGAGGAGACUUAGUAGGGAACGGACCCAAAUGCGGUACUACCGCGGUGGUAGGGCGGUACUACCGCUCCUGGAACGGUACUACCGCCACUACAACCGUGACUAGUGCCGCAAAACCCGACACAAGAAAAAGACCUCUCGAACCGAGGCGGUAGGAGCCAAACUACCCAGCGGUACUACGGCAGUGGGGUCAAGGGCGGUAGUACCGCUGUGGAGCGGUACUGCCGCUUGUGACCCUUCGGCCGUAGUACCGCAGGCAGUGCGGUACUACCGCUGGGGCACGCGAGAGAGAAGGGAUAUCUCAAAAAGCUGAGGACCAGCGGAGGUGCCAGGCCCCCAGCGGUACUACUGCUGUGGAGCCACGGUGGUACUACCGCUGCGAAGCGGUACUGCCGCUUGUGGCUUCUCAGCGGUACUACCGCUGGAUGCGCGGUACUGCCGCUUAGACCUAGACAGAAUAAGGAAGAGAGGAGAGAUCUCUUCAAUGGACAGGAAAAGCUCAGAGGGUGAGAAGCUGAUGUGUACGUGAUGAUUCCACCCAAGCAAAACCCCAGCGGACCCCCUCUUGAUAGUACGGUGCCCUCUACGCAACUAGUCCACCUAGAAAGAAGCGAAAGAGCUACACCGUCUUGAAAUACACUCCGAGGGGAAGAAAGCGUCUCGUGCCAGGGGAGAAUCUGAGAAUAAUUCAACGCACAAGAUUAGUCCGCAAACAUGUUGUCAUCAAUCACCAAAACUACCUUGAGAGAGAUAUGCCGUAACACUACCAUUGUCCGCUUUGUACAUCCACAUGCUAUGUGGGUGAAAUUAUGAUACCAUGCCAACUUUCAACUUUUUCAGAGUUCAUUUGAAAUGCUUUCAUGUCUUAUGGUUCGGCCCUCGUAAUACCAUGACCAUUAGUCCCUGGCCCAUGCCAACUUUCAACUUUCAACUUUCUAAAACUAAUGGCACUAACAGAAAGUUUAUAAUUUUGCUCCUCUCCCCUGGCCCAUGACCAUUAGUCCUGGUUUGUGCCACAAAUCGGGACUAAAGGGUUGGUCCUUGUUGCGGGCAGAGUUUAGUCCCACCUCGCCAACCGAAGGGGGCUCACACCGGUUUAUAAGCCCUUCCCUCUCUGCCUUGUUGAGCUCCUAUCAAAGUGAAAAUAGAUGCCCUAAAAGAGAAAAGUUUAACCUAAAUUCAUAGUGAAUUUCUCUGAAAUUCAUAGAAAUUUACUAGGAAUUUAGGUUGAAUUUUCUCUAUAAGCGCAUCUAUUCUCAUUUUUUUAGUAAGUUAAUCACAAACUUGUGAUUCAAACAAUUUUCAAAGAAUUCAAAUUUUAACUAUUCAAAUUUGAAAACUAAUGGCACUAACAGAAAGUUUAUAAUUUUUCUAAAACUAAUGGCACUAACAGAAAGUUUAUAAUUUUGCUAACCUAAAAGCAAACAGAAUUAAAAAUNNNNNNNNNNNNNNNNNNNNNNNNNNNNNNNNNNNNNNNNNNNNNNNNNNNNNNNNNNNNNNNNNNNNNNNNNNNNNNNNNNNNNNNNNNNNNNNNNNNNNNNNNNNNNNNNNNNNNNNNNNNNNNNNNNNNNNNNNNNNNNNNNNNNNNNNNNNNNNNNNNNNNNNNNACAACAAUAAGUAUUUUGUUGUAAGUAGAAACAAAAUAAAAUAAAUAAAGCAACAAAGAAAACAAAAAAAAGUGUUUUCAAAUUUGAAAACUAAUGGCACUAACAGAAAGUUUAUAAUUUUUCUAAAACUAAAAGCAAAAAGAAUUAAAAAAUAAAGCAAAAAACAAAAGAAAAUAAAUAAUGCAGAAAACAAAACAAAAAAAACUGGAAAAAAAAUUAAAUAUAGCAACAAUAAGUAUUUUGUUGUAAGUAGAAACAAAAAAACAAAAAAAGUGCCACCUACUGGGCACCCACGGCCUGAAUACGACUAGAAACCCUACCAUGGGCAAGGAUUCAGGCCCGCAGGAGGCCCAGUAGGCCCACAGGCCCACAUUGCACGGUUAGACCCGAAAGCCUGCUUUAGAGAGGAGCUCGAGAGGGAAGACGCACCGCACCUUAUAAACAGGUGCGGCUCCCUCUCAACUAGCGAGGUGGGACUAAACAUUUGGGUGCAGGGCAGUGCAAGGCCUUUGGUCCCGCUUGGUGGCACCAACCGGGACNNNNNNNNNNNNNNNNNNNNNNNNNNNNNNNNNNNNNNNNNNNNNNNNNNNNNNNNNNNNNNNNNNNNNNNNNNNNNNNNNNNNNNNNNNNNNNNNNNNNNNNNNNNNNNNNNNNNNNNNNNNNNNNNNNNNNNNNNNNNNNNNNNNNNNNNNNNNNNNNNNNNNNNNNNNNNNNNNNNNNNNNNNNNNNNNNNNNNNNNNNNNNNNNNNNNNNNNNNNNNNNNNNNNNNNNNNNNNNNNNNNNNNNNNNNNNNNNNNNNNNNNNNNNNNNNNNNNNNNNNNNNNNNNNNNNNNNNNNNNNNNNNNNNNNNNNNNNNNNNNNNNNNNNNNNNNNNNNNNNNNNNNNNNNNNNNNNNNNNNNNNNNNNNNNNNNNNNNNNNNNNNNNNNNNNNNNNNNNNNNNNNNNNNNNNNNNNNNNNNNNNNNNNNNNNNNNNNNNNNNNNNNNNNNNNNNNNNNNNNNNNNNNNNNNNNNNNNNNNNNNNNNNNNNNNNNNNNNNNNNNNNNNNNNNNNNNNNNNNNNNNNNNNNNNNNNNCUCUGCCUCGCCGCGCCCCAGCUGCCCCGCGCCGCCGUCGCCUCUGCCUCGCUGUGGUCUGGGCCGGCACCGCCCCCUUCUUCCCCCUUUUUUUUGCAAACACAUAUAUGUUUUUUUCCUGCAGAUUAUAUGUAUAUGUAUGAGUAUAUGAUGAUGUAUGAGUAUAUGUAUGUGCUGAAAAGAUAGAUUUUUAGAAAAAAAUACUAUUUUUUCUGUUGAUGAUAUGAUGAUGUUUUUUUCAUAUAUGCAUUUUUUUCAUAUAUGUAUUAAUUUUUUUAAGUUGUUAGUAGAUAUCGAUUUUAGGUUAGUGCAUUUUAUCACUGAUUUUAGGUUAGUUGAUCGAUUUAGUGCAUUUUAUGUUUGUUGCAUUUUAUGUUUGUUGCAUUUUAGGUUAGUGCAUUUGCUAAGUGAUAUUAAGAAAGGAAGGAAAAGAAGGAUAGGAAAGAAGAAAAUAAGAAGAGGAAAGAAAGAACAAGAGGAGAGGAAGAAAAGGAGAAAUAAAUAAGAAGAAGAAAAAAGAAGAAAAAGAAGAGGAGAAGAAGAAAGGAAUAGUGGAGAAGAAGAGAAAAUAGAAUAUUCUCCACUAUUCCUUUCUUCUUCUCCUCUUUUUUCUUCUUUUUUUUCUUCGAUCUUCUCCUCUAGCUAUUCCUUUCUUCGAGGGUUCUAUAGGGUCGAGGGAUCGAGGGUCGAGGGUUCCAGGGUCGUCUAGGGGUCGAGGGUUCCAGGGUCGUCGAGGGUUCGAGGGGUCGAGGAUCACCGAGGGGUCGAGAGAGGUUUCCUAGUGUCAAAGUAUUGAAGAAAUACAUGGCUUCAUCAUUAGCCGGAAGUAACCAGGACAUGACGAAGUCCUCCAAAGUUAUUUUGGAAUGGUGUCCCGGAUAGGAUAAUUUGCCUUUUUGUAUGAAUUUCAGCAAAGGCCUUCCAAAUAACGAUAUUUGGAAGGUUCUUACUGAACUUUGUACCAAAAAGCGAAUUAUCUUAUCUGGGACUCCGUUCCAAAAUAACUUUGGAGAGCUUCGUACCAUCAUGCACAUGUUACUUUCUCCUAAUGAUGAAGACAUGGUUUUGUUGAAUCCUUCAACACUAGGCAACCUCCCGACCCCUCGGCGAUCCUCUCGAACAUGAGAGGAAGAAGAGGAUAAAAAAGAAGAGGAAGAAGAAAAAAAGAGGAGAAGAAAGAAUAGAGGAGUUCUUCUCCUCUAUUCUUUCUUCUCCUCUUUUUUUUCUUCUUCCUCCUCUUUUUUUUAUCGGGAACGAGGGUCGCCGAGCAGUAGAGGAGAAACCCUAAAUAGAAAGUAUCGUCGGUGCGAGAUACAUGUACCGUCGGUGUCGGACACUACAUCCACGUCCCACAAGUGGNNNNNNNNNNNNNNNNNNNNNNNNNNNNNNNNNNNNNNNNNNNNNNNNNNNNNNNNNNNNNNNNNNNNNNNNNNNNNNNNNNNNNNNNNNNNNNNNNNNNNNNNNNNNNNNNNNNNNNNNNNNNNNNNNNNNNNNNNNNNNNNNNNNNNNNNNNNNNNNNNNNNNNNNNNNNNNNNNNNNNNNNNNNNNNNNNNNNNNNNNNNNNNNNNNNNNNNNNNNNNNNNNNNNNNNNNNNNNNNNNNNNNNNNNNNNNNNNNNNNNNNNNNNNNNNNNNNNNNNNNNNNNNNNNNNNNNNNNNNNNNNNNNNNNNNNNNNNNNNNNNNNNNNNNNNNNNNNNNNNNNNNNNNNNNNNNNNNNNNNNNNNNNNNNNNNNNNNNNNNNNNNNNNNNNNNNNNNNNNNNNNNNNNNNNNNNNNNNNNNNNNNNNNNNNNNNNNNNNNNNNNNNNNNNNNNNNNNNNNNNNNNNNNNNNNNNNNNNNNNNNNNNNNNNNNNNNNNNNNNNNNNNNNNNNNNNNNNNNNNNNNNNNNNNNNNNNNNNNNNNNNNNNNNNNNNNNNNNNNNNNNNNNNNNNNNNNNNNNNNNNNNNNNNNNNNNNNNNNNNNNNNNNNNNNNNNNNNNNNNNNNNNNNNNNNNNNNNNNNNNNNNNNNGUGGUGCGGGCUUCCCGCACCACUUGUGGGACGUGGAUGUAGUGUCCGACACCGACGGCCACAUGUAUCUCACACCCACGAUACUUGAUAUUUAGGGUUUCCUCUAUCGCUCGGUGACCCUCGACGACCCUCGUUCCCGAUAAAAAAAAGAGGAAGAAGAAGAAAAAAAGAGGAGAAGAAAGAAUAAAGGAGUUCUUACUCCUUUAUUCUUUCUUCUCCUCUUUUUUUCUUCUUCCUCUUCUUUUUUUAUCCUUGAAGCAUUGUCGAGGCCAUCCCAAACCCUAGAGAAGCAGUGUCGAGGCCACCCCAAACCCUAGAGAAGCAGCAUCGAGGCCACUAAUUAAUAUUAGUUCUACGUUUUUGCCACUAAUAUAUCCAUCUAUCAUGUUUGAAUAAUAAUUGCCAUGUUGUCAAUAUUUCUAGAAACUAUGGACACCGCCGGGACGAAGUACAAGAAGAGUUGUUGGGGGACAUAAUCGCACGAGGAAGUGAUGCCAUCUGCUCGUUGUUUCUCAACGACACCGAUGGUCUGGAAGCAGCUGGCUAUGAUUAUGAUGGCUCCGGUGACCUAAUGCCGGUGCAAGAAGGAGACCGUGAGGACGGCUCCGGUGACCCAAUGCCGGUGCAGGAAGGAGAUCGUGAUGAUGUCUCCGGUGACCGAACUGAGUCCGGCCAGGUAUAUAUAUUAGUUAAGCUUCUGCUGACUAGCUAAUUGAUGGAUUCAUUGUUUUGGUAUGUACACAUAUUAAUUAAGUCUUUAUUCUUUUUUCUAGCCCUCCGGAUCGAGCACAACUUCGGUAAAGAGACGAGGCCCGAAGAAAAAGUUGAGCUCGGAUGAAAAGUUUGAGAUCAUAGCAAUCGCGCCCGACGGCCAACCGAUUGAACCCCUUCAGACAAAGAGCGCAUUUGUUGCUCAGUGCGGGGUUUUGGUUAGGGACAAGAUCCCGAUCAGCAUCCAGCAAUGGUUUAAGCCGGCUACAGAAGACCCUGAGGUGUCUUAUGUCAAUGAUAUGCAGAAAAAUGAUCUUUGGACUGAGCUGAAGUCAAAUUUCACCCUACCGCCAGAGGAUAAUCCAGAGAAGCCAGUUAAAGAGCAAUUAAUCAAGUCUUUUGCUCUUAAGAGGAUGGCAGGACUAUUCAGGAGGUGGAAGAAAGAGCUGAAUAAGUUUGUCGAAAAUAAUGAGACACCAGAAUUCAAGGGCAGAUAUGGGAAGAUCAGAGAUCACUGGCCCGCAUUUGUGGCCCACAAGACAUCAAAAAAGAGUAAGAAGAUGUCGGCGACAAACAAGCAAAAUGCUGCGAAGAAGAAGCAUCACCAUCGCAUGGGGUCAGGUGGCUACCUCGUAGCCCGGCCUAAGUGGGCCAAUACUGAGAAUGAUCUGGUUGAUAAAGGGAUCGAACCAGAGACAAUUAACUGGCCAGACCGUUGGCGGACUUGGUUCUUCGGGGCUGGCGGAACCUUGGACCCUGUAACAGGGAAGUGCAUUUGGACAAACGAUCAAAUGGACAUGCCAGUCAGGAAGCUUUAGCACUAUAUCGAAGCAGCGCAGCAAGGGACGUUCUUUUCAGACAGAGAGAACGACAAGCUCACAAUGGCCCUCGAGAAUCCUGAGCACCCUGGACGGACACGAGGCACGCCAGGCUCCAUUCCGUGGAAGGUUGGCUUUCCGGACGCAUGCGGUUACAAAUCCCAUGAGAGGAGGAAAAAAGUGCAGCAGACCCAAAUGCAGGCGGUGCAAUCAAGGGUACAAGCGAUAGAGGAACGAGAAGCAGAUCGCAGCAAACGUAUUGUCGAAGCUUCCCCCGAAGCUACCCCGCCAUCUCAGCAGAGAAGCAGCGUGGCUUCCACUGAGCUGCUUCAGCCGAAGCAUGCCUUGACGGCUCCUGCCAGCUAUCCCGUGGAUGCUGUCACGGAGUCUCAAAAUUGCCACCUUAUGACGCAAUGGAUGAAUUUGAAGGUCAAGGCGGCUGUUGGCUCUGUUUAUCCUACUGAACCCGGCGCAACUUUUCACUGUCGGCCGAUUCCAGAAGGAUAUGCUAGGGUGAUGGUGGAUGAAAUAACGGAGGGAUUUGAGGACCUCCAGCUUGACCACCCUACCGGUGAAGGGGAGACUAGGCUGGGGUCUGCUCUGAAGACUCCAUGCCUAUGGCGGAAGGAGCUCAUCAACCUUCCGAACUGGACGCCUCCGCCUCCUCCUCCUCCUCCGGCAAGUCAGGUCACUCCGCCUCCUCCACCGCCUCCUCGUCCGGCGAGUCAGGACACUCCGCCUCCUCCACCGCCUCCUCCUCCGGCGAGUGACGAUCAGGGCACUCGACCGGCUCCUUCUCCAGCGCGUGGUGGCACUCCGCCUCCUUCUCCGCCUGCGCCGACGCGCCCGAGCAGCCAGCCUCCUCCUUCUCCGCCUCGUCAGCAAGGGCGGAAGAGACCCGCCGCCGCUCCGGCUGCUCCGGCGCGUCGUAGUCCUUCUCCUCCGCCUCGUAAGCAAGUAAAGAAGACAACCGCUCCUUCUUCUCGGCCGGCGUCUAGCAGUACAGCCAAAGGCGGGAGGACAUACAGAUUCCGUCCUUCUCUGAAGACUCCAGAGAAGUUACCAUACGAGAGGACCCCGGAGGAGAACGCCGAGAUCGCACGAACCGAAGUGGAUGACUGCUUUCAAGGGUUAAAAGCAAAGAGACAUCCACUUCCAGAGGAGAAGGUAGAUCCGGUGAAAGCGAAGCGCACUCUGGCUGCCCUGACAAAACCACCCAAGUCUCCACCGAAAGGAAACUAUGAGCGCAUUAUUGGAAAGGAAUUUGUCGAAGCGGAGCGGUCGGGAAGUACUGUUAGUGAUCAAAGGCUGAAAGAACGAUGAGUUGGGAAACAAAUUGCCCAGCUCAGUGAACAAGCGAAGCAAUCGUGCCCCCCGCUCAAGGUGCCUAGCGAUGUCGCUAAUGAUCCGAGGAUGGUGCCCGAUUAUAGCAAUCUUGCCGAUUACCUGGCCGACGAUGUACAUUAUGAACCCAUGGAGGUGCAGAUACAAAGAUAUGAGUACGGGAAGCCUCUCGUCAAAGAUGAAAGAUCUCCAUCAACGAUGAUGCGAAGAUUGCAUGAUUGGUACUUGAAAAUCUGCAGAGACUCUGGGGGGAGGAGUACUUUGUAUGUGAAAGUUAAAAAGGAGCAUGACCUCGUUGGAAUUGAACUGUUGCCUGUUCCAUUUGAGGAGUUCUUUCAGUUUUUCAAUCAAUUGGCCCUCGAUAAAACAACGGUCGCCUGCUACUGUCUGUAAGUAGUACUACUUCUGUCAUUAAGUCUCCCUAUAUAGCUCAGCUCUUUCAUUGCAUGUAUUUAUAAUUAUCCUCACUAUAUUAUGCAGAUUGAAGAUCGCCAAAUUGAAGAAAAUACAAGUCGGUGAUAUUGGGUUCAUUAACACAUAUCUCAUAGAUGCAACUAAGGUUAAAUUACAUGCCGCAGAUACCGAGGCCAACUUGCUACGAUCGUUGGUAAUAAAUGAUAACAAAGAUAUAAUACUCUUUCCUUACAACUUCAAGUGAGUGUUAAUGUCUUGUGCAUAUUCGGUUUCCCUUAUAUAUUAGUCAAGGUUAUAGUAAUGUAAUUGAUGAGUUAUGCAUGUGUGUGCAGUUUCCACUAUAUUCUCCUAGAGAUUAAGCUUGAGCAGGGACUAGUAACCGUCUUAGACUCAAGACGAAAAGAUCCCCAGGACUAUGCGGGCAUGACUCAAAUGCUCGAGAAGUAAGUUAAAUCGAUCAUUAUCCACCAUAUCAGCAACUUUGUUCAUUUCCUGAUAUAUCAAGUAAUUAUUUUCUUUGUCUGGCAGGGUUUGGAAAAAAUUCACCAAAAAAGCUCCGGGACUCCCGAAGAAGCUGCAAUUUAGACACCCGAAAGUAAGUAAUAUAGUAGCAUGUUCCGCGCAUCUCCUAUUGAUUCAAGCGCUAGUUUCAUGGAUACCAUUUGGCAUUCUUGCUUAUCAGUUUGAUUGACCUCUAUUUCUUGUAAAGUGGUUGUGGCAGGAACAAGGGAAUGAUUUCUGUGGAUACUACGUUUGCGAGUCCAUCCGCCACACGACCUGUGAGCGGGGCUACACUGACGAACAAUAUGAAGUACGUAAAUAACAACAUUCACAAUUUUAUUUUAUUACCACCAUUUGUGUUGAGUUUCAUUCAUUCAUAUAUAUAUGUAUUGACCCCCUUCUUUAAAUUAGAUGUUUCGGAAGCGGGAUAAACUCCUAGCACCAGCUUGCAUGCGAGCAAUUCAAGAGGAAUUGGCGGCAUUCUUUCUUGACCACGUGAUCGCUGAAGACGGAGAAUACUAUGUGGACCCUGAGUCCGUAUGAUUAUAUUUGUAAGAGAUAAUUAUUGUAUAUAUGUAGCCGGUAGUGUCGGAUAGAUAUACGAGAACUUGUCGUUCGACCAAUCUCUCGGAGAAGGAGAGGUGGUCGAUAUCACUUCUCUCUGUAUGCAUAUAUGUUCAUGACGAUCUUCUGUUUCCUUCGUUUGCUUACUAGCUAGCUAGCGUGUCUAGUCCUCUCUAUACGUAUGUAUAGUAUGUAGCGUCGACCAAGCACGGACAUAAGAGAGGACACCUNNNNNNNNNNNNNNNNNNNNNNNNNNNNNNNNNNNNNNNNNNNNNNNNNNNNNNNNNNNNNNNNNNNNNNNNNNNNNNNNNNNNNNNNNNNNNNNNNNNNNNNNNNNNNNNNNNNNNNNNNNNNNNNNNNNNNNNNNNNNNNNNNNNNNNNNNNNNNNNNNNNNNNNNNNCCCAACCACAGAAAUGCUGACGCGUGGAUGCCUAUUGGUCCCGGUUGGUGCCACCAACCGGGACCAAAGGGUCUCCUGCCUGGGCUCCGCGCACAGGCCACGUGGAGGCCCAUCUGUCCCGGUUCUGGAUUGAACCGGGACUAAAGGGACAGGGCAUUAGUACCGACCCUUUAGUCCCGGUUCCAGAACCGGGACAAAAGGCCCUUACGAACCGGGACAACAGGCCCUUUUUCUAUCAGUGUUGGUGAAAACACAUGUGUUUGACAUCACAUAUUUGAAAUGACAUCACAGACUUCUAAUCCUGACACCGCCACUGAGGUCUGUGCCAAUUUUAAUAGCAUUCGGACAUCUAAGUAGCUCUCAGGAAAAAAAAUCAAUGCAAACAAACAGCAAACUUUUUCAGACCCUAAUUCUUUUUUUUGCACUAUUCCUCUGUCCAACCUUCCUCAUAGGGUAAUCAAUCGCCAUAAUUUACUUACCUAUUGACUCAAUUUUACUUUAAUUUACUUACCAAAUUUAGGUAAAUCACAGGGCAUAAUUUGAUAAACAUUUAUUUACACCGUCACAUUAAUACAAGUAGGUAAUUCACAAGCUAGCGUAAUAAUAGAAUAUUUAUACCCCAUUGUAACGCAUGGACAUUUU
rnacentral:lncRNA from 1 species